rnacentral:tRNA from 1 species
GGAGAGGUGUCCGAGUGGUUGAAGGAGCUCGCCUGGAAAGCGGGUAAACGGGUCACACCGUUUCGUGGGUUCGAAUCCCACCCUCUCCGCCA